rnacentral:rRNA from 1 species
GGGCGAAGCUGAGAACUUAAGCGCCAGUAAACGGCGGUGGUAACUAUAACCAUCCUAAGGUAGCGAAAUUCCUUGUCGGGUAAGUUCCGACCUGCACGAAUGGCGUAACGACUUCUCGACUGUCUCAACCAUAGGCCCGGUGAAAUUGCACUACGAGUAAAGAUGCUCGUUUCGCGCAGCAGGACGGAAAGACCCCGGGACCUUUACUAUAGCUUGAUAUUGGUGUUUGGUUCGGCUUGUGUAGGAUAGGUGGGAGACUGUGAAGCCGUGACGCCAGUCAUGGUGGAGUCGUUGUUGAAAUACCACUCUGGUCGUGCUGGAUGUCUAACCUGGGUCCGUGAUCCGGAUCAGGGACAGUGUCUGGUGGGUAGUUUAACUGGGGCGGUUGCCUCCUAAAGGGUAACGGAGGCGCCCAAAGGUUCCCUCAGCCUGGUUGGCAAUCAGGUGUUGAGUGUAAGUGCACAAGGGAGCUUGACUGUGAGACUGACGGGUCGAGCAGGUACGAAAGUAGGGACUAGUGAUCCGGCGGUGGCUUGUGGAAGCGCCGUCGCUCAACGGAUAAAAGGUACCCCGGGGAUAACAGGCUGAUCUUCCCCAAGAGUCCAUAUCGACGGGAUGGUUUGGCACCUCGAUGUCGGCUCGUCGCAUCCUGGGGCUGGAGUCGGUCCCAAGGGUUGGGCUGUUCGCCCAUUAAAGCGGUACGCGAGCUGGGUUUAGAACGUCGUGAGACAGUUCGGUCCCUAUCCGCUGUGCGCGUAGGAGUCUUGAGAAGGGCUGUCCCUAGUACGAGAGGACCGGGACGGACGAACCUCUGGUGUGCCAGUUGUUCUGCCAAGGGCAUGGCUGGUUGGCUACGUUCGGAAAGGAUAACCGCUGAAAGCAUCUAAGCGGGAAGCCUGCUUCGAGAUGAGGGCUCCCUCCCACUUGAUGGGGUAAGGCUCCCAGUAGACGACUGGGUUGAUAGGCCAGAUAUGGAAGC